rnacentral:rRNA from 1 species
GACGAACGCUGGCGGCGUGCUUAACACAUGCAAGUCGAACGGAGUGGCGAACGGGUGAGUAACACGUGGGUGAUCUGCCUUGCACUUCGGGAUAAGCUUGGGAAACUGGGUCUAAUACCGGAUAGUGCAAGAUGAGCUCGCGGCCAAUCGGCUUGUUGGUGGGGUAAUGGCCUACCAAGGCGUCGACGGGUAGCCGGCCUGUGAGGGUGUACGGCCACAAUGGGACUGAGAUACGGACCAGACUGCAACGGGAGGCAGCGGGGGGGAAUAUUGCACAAUGGGCGGAAGCCUGAUGCAGCGGCGCGGGGUGGGGGAUGAAGGCCUUCGGGUUGUAAACUCCUUUCGACAGGGACGCGGUACCCGUAUAAGAAGCACCGGCUAACUACGUGCCAGCCGCCGCGGUAAUAC